GACGAACGCUGGCGGCGUGCCUAAUACAUGCAAGUCGAGCGAAGUUUUUCUGGUUCUUGCCCUAGAAAAACUUAGCGGCGCACGGGUGAGUCACACGUAAAGAACCUGCCUCAUAGACUGGGACAACUAUUGGAAACGAUAGCUAAUACCGGAUAACAGUAUUUCUCGCAUGAGAGAUAUUUAAAAGUUGGUUAUGCUAACACUAUGAGAUGGCUUUGCGGUGCAUUAGCUAGUUGGGGGGGUAAAGGCCCACCAAGGCGACGAUGCAUAGCCGACCUGAGAGGGUGAUCGGCCACACGGGGACUGAGAAACGGCACAGACUCCUACGGGAGGCAGCAGUAGGGAAUCUUACGCAAUGGGGGAAAGCCGGACGGAGCAAAGUCGCGUGAGUGAAGAAGGAUUUCGGUUCGGAAAGCUCUGUUGGUAGGGAAGAAUGGAUAUGUAGUAACUAUACAUGUAAGAGACGGUACCGAGCGAGAAAGCCACGGCUAACUACGUG
rnacentral:rRNA from 1 species